AUACGUAGGGGGCGAGCGUUGUCCGGAAUGAUUGGGCGUAAAGGGCGCGUAGGCGGCCCGGUAAGUCUGGAGUGAAAGUCCUGUUUUUAAGAUGGGAAUUGCUUUGGAUACUGUCGGGCUUGAGUGCAGGAGAGGUAAGUGGAAUUCCCAGUGUAGCGGUGAAAUGCGUAGAGAUUGGGAGGAACACCAGUGGCGAAGGCGACUUACUGGACUGUAACUGACGCUGAGGCGCGAAAGUGUGGGGAGCAAACAGGAUUAGAUACCCUGGUAGUCCACACUGUAAACGAUGAAUGCUAGGUGUAGGGGGUAUCGACCCCUUCUGUGCCGCAGUCAACACAAUAAGCAUUCCGCCUGGGGAGUACGGCCGCAAGGUUGAAACUCAAAUGAAUUGACGGGU
rnacentral:rRNA from 1 species